GAUGAACGCUGACAGAAUGCUUAACACAUGCAAGUCUUUGGCGAAUCUGUGCUUGCACAGGCUAGCCAAGGCGGACGGGUGAGUAACGCGUAAAGAACUUGCCCUGCAGACAGGGAUAACAGACGGAAACGACUGAUAACACCUGAUACAGUUGCCGGCACGCAUGUGCCUGGCAAUGAAAAGAGAUGCUGCAGGAGAGCUUUGCGUCCUAUUAGCUUGUUGGUGAGGUGACGGCUCACCAAGGCGAUGAUAGGUAGCCGGCCUGAGAGGGUGAACGGCCACAAGGGGACUGAGAUACGGCCCUUACUCCUACGGGAGGCAGCAGUGGGGAAUGUUGGACAAUGGGGGCAACCCUGAUCCAGCAAUUCUGUGUGCACGAAGAAGGUUUUCGGAUUGUAAAGUGCUUUCAGCAGGGAAGAAGAAAGUGACGGUACCUGCAGAAGAAGCGACGGCUAAAUACGUG
rnacentral:rRNA from 1 species